GGGGGGAGUAUGGGGGGGGGGGGGGGCUGAGAAUUCACCUGGCCAAUGAGUUAAAAAUGAGAAAAGGAUUAGCAGUUACCAAAAUUUCUAAGUAGUUAAGUAUCUGCAUGGUGGGUUCAGUAUAAACAAACAUGGUACUCUCAAAUGACUGUUGAUGGGCUAUUACAUUAGCAUCCUGUGAACCCUGGUCAUAGCUGGAAAGGAGUCAAAAACCAGGUUCUUUGUGCAGAAGGAAUAUACCUUUUAAACACCCCCAAAGUAUAGAUUAAGCCGUGAUUGAUGAAAAGUCUCCAUUUUCUGAUGAUUUUAUGAAACCAAAGUAUAACUAAGAACCAACCAUCUGAGCGCCAGUAGAGAGUGGAAAAUAGGGAAAGGCAACAUCUCAGUAUGAUUUCUGGAGUGAGCAGUCGUUCUUACUGGCUAGGACCAUAAGCUUCAUUUGUUAAAAGUUCCCAGAAAUUAAGCCUGAAUGAGCUUAGAGCUUAGUAAGAGUUACUUCCAGAGAUGCUUCUUUCUUCCCUCAAGUAUACAGAUUAACUAUUUUUGUGCCGUGGGCCUUUUGACAGCCCCAAAAAGCCCGUGGAUCCCAUCUCAAUGUUUUACAUGUGUAUUACAUAAUGCUCACACAUUCUAAAUUUUAUCUACGGACUCCUAGUUAGAAAUCCCUUGUAAGGGGUGUUAGGGUUCUGAGAGAAGGCUGGUAAGUAAUGAGGCUGGUAACUUAUUUCAGCACCCUGUUCAGGACGGGAAUAUGUUGUGUUUCAGUUAUUCUAGUUUCCAGCUCAAUUGGUGUUGAAGAAACUAGCUCACUUAUAAGUGACUCGGAUGAAAACCCACGGGGAGGCAUGUUUCUUUAGUAAGAAACCCUGAGAGCCCCCUUUGAAGUCAAUCUGACUAAUUAAGAGAAAGGUUAUAUGUAUCCCAGUUUUGACCUUCUGUGAAUGUGAUAUAUUAUUGGCAUCUCGUUCUGCACAGUCCAAAUGAGGUAGACAAGAUAAUGAUUGGUAUAUAACCAUGGAUACCGAAGAUCCACUGCAAGGCCUGCCGAUCACUUUACACAGAAGGAACCCCCUCCCUGAGGUUUGCUUGCUCGGGGUGUGGUGGUACUUUGCCCUAGUAAACUACCAAGGAAGUCCGAACGUAAGCUCCUCCUCUGGAAGAGCGAGUUGUGGGCGGCUGCGCUGCGGGGGCAAACGCGCCGCAUGCCCGCUGGCCAGAGCGAGUCGGGGUCUGGCGUUAGGGCAUCCAGACUGGCCGGCAUGGUACAGGGCGUAUCCCUAGCCGCCUUCUGCGUCAUAUGGGGCGCCGCCCUCCAGCCUAGGAGAGAUGGCCGCUAGGAGGGACAGAGGGGCCUUAUCUGCCCGGGUCUUAAUACCCCGGGCGGGGUCGGAAAGCGGGUUACAGAAGAGCGCCCAGUAAACUGCAGGGGUGCGACUCGUCUCCAGGGACCGGAAACCCCCAGGGCCGAGCUAACCGGCAACAAACCAUAAUCCGAUCCUGUCUUCGGGAUCAGAAAGAGGACAGCUGGCCCCCGCGCAAGCUCAGUCCCUCCUCCGCAGCCUACAGGAGGAGCCUCAGAAACGCACUUCCGCCGCGCGGGCCUACCUCCACGCAGGGCGCUUCCUAGGCCAGCUCACUUCCGCCCAGCGCUUUCUGCGGAUAGGGGAGUCGGGGUUUUCUUUUGUCCUAUUCUUGCUCUUGCUCUUGACUCCCCUUUUCCGUUUAACCCUUUUCUCCUCUCUUGGCCUCCAAAAAAGCAGUCGGCUGCCACUCUCGACUUUUUUGUCUGGGACACCGUCAGCUCACACUCCAAGCCCAGCGCAGCGGCCAUCUUCGGGGAAAAAAAUGCAAACUUGUGACACCAUUUAUGAUCUGCUUGGUCUUGAGAUACUGAGUAAUAGAACUUUCUCCUUCCAGGCUGAAUUGUGAACUUCGGUUUGGUUUCUUUCUGCAAUCCCUGCAGGGCCAUAAAUUCUUGGCCCUUCAGACUGUUUCUUGUUGGCCUGUAACAGACUCAGCGAUACCAUCAGUAACCACAAUUCACAGUGGAGUCAAAUUAUCUUAUUCCCACACCAGUUGGAGAACUGGAGAUUCCUUAGAACUUUAACUGUCAUGUUUUCAAAGUUGACGUGGAAAUUUUUACAUGAAGCUUAAAAAUAAAACUAAUCUGUGGUGAUAGAGAUGAGAAGAGUUAAGCUCUAAAAUUAGAAGAGCAGUUCGUUUUGAGGCAGCAUUGAUUGGGAGGGAGCAUGGAGUAUAUAACUAUACAUUUCUAUAUAAUGUAAAAAUUUAUAGGUUUAAGAUUUAUGCAUUUUGUGUAAAUUAUACUACAAUAAAAUGAAAAUGAAAGAAGACAAAGAUCAUAUAUAGUUCAAAUAUUGUGUACAAAGUAGUUUCUGUUAAACAUUUUUAUGUGUAUAUGUACCUUUUACAUGUAUAUGUUAAGGAUAUGCAUUAAAAUGGUAAUAACUUCCUCUGCCUAUUGGGAUAAUGGAGAGUUUUGUUACUUUUUGUCUUUUUUUUAAAAAAAAAACAUGUUCUGCAAUGAUAAUGUAUUGCUUUUGUAAUUAUGAAAAACAAAAGUUAUUUUGUAAAUCCUUGUUACUGAUAAGAGAUGGGUAUUCUAUUAACUACUGAAUUCUCAUGUAGGAAAACAAAAUACGUAAUGUCUAUUUGAUAAAUCGAGAAACAGAAGCAUUACUUAGAAAUCUGAGUUACCUCUAAAAUAAUGACUGGCAUUUGAAGUUGAGGAUGGGUCUUGAGUUCCUUUGAUUUUAAGCUCUUGGAUAUGAGGGUUGGGUGAGUUCCUCUUUUUCUCUCUUUCAAAAUAUAUGUAUGUUUAACUUUGCUAAAUAAAAGUUAAAAGAUACAGUC